ACCAGACUCCUACGGGAGGCAGCAGUGGGGAAUAUUGGGCAAUGGGCGCAAGCCUGACCCAGCAACGCCGCGUGAAGGAAGAAGGCUUUCGGGUUGUAAACUUCUUUUGUCAGGGACGAAGCAAGUGACGGUACCUGACGAAUAAGCCACGGCUAACUACGUGCCAGCAGCCGCGGUAAUACGUAGGUGGCAAGCGUUAUCCGGAUUUAUUGGGUGUAAAGGGCGUGUAGGCGGGAAUGCAAGUCAGAUGUGAAAACUAUGGGCUCAACCGCGGAACUGCAUUUGAAACUGUCAGUCUUGAGUACCGGAGAGGUCAUCGGAAUUCCUUGUGUAGCGGUGAAAUGCGUAGAUAUAAGGAAGAACACCAGUGGCGAAGGCGGAUGACUGGACGGCAACUGACGGUGAGGCGCGAAAGCGUGGGGAGCAAACAGGAUUAGAUACCCUUGUAU
rnacentral:rRNA from 1 species